rnacentral:rRNA from 1 species
UUUGAACCCCCGGAGGAUCGAUUUAAUUACAAGGGUGAGGGAGAAACAACAACACCUAAAAUGUGGAAUAUAGCAUAUAGUCGACAAGAGAAAUCUACGAAAAAACAAACAAAACUUUCAACAACGGAUCUCUUGGUUCUCGCAUCGAUGAAGAGCGCAGCGAAAUGCGAUACCUAGUGUGAAUUGCAGCCAUCGUGAAUCAUCGAGUUCUUGAACGCACAUUGCGCCCCUCGGCAUUCCGGGGGGCAUGCCUGUUUGAGCGUCGUUUCCAUCUUGCGCGUGCGCAGAGUUGGGGGAGCGGAGCGGACGACGUGUAAAGAGCGUCGGAGCUGCGACUCGCCUGAAAGGGAGCGAAGCUGGCCGAGCGAACUAGACUUUUUUUCAGGGACGCUUGGCGGCCGAGGGCGAGUGUUGCGAGACAACAAAAAGCUCGACCUCAAAUCAGGUAGGAAUGCCCGCUGAACUAAG